UACAGAGGUCCCAAGCGUUGUUCGGAUUCACUGGGCGUAAAGGGUGCGUAGGCGGUCGGGUAAGUCUGAUGUGAAAUCUCACAGCUUAACUGUGAAACUGCAUUGGAUACUAUCCGGCUCGAGGAAUGGAGGGGAGACUGGAAUACUUGGUGUAGCAGUGAAAUGCGUAGAGAUCGUAAGGAAGACCAGUGGCGAAGGCGGGUCUCUGGACAGUUCCUGACACUGAGGCACGAAGGCCAGGGGAGCAAACGGG
rnacentral:rRNA from 1 species